rnacentral:rRNA from 1 species
UACGGGGGGAGCAAGCGUUGUUCGGAUUUACUGGGCGUAAAGGGCGCGUAGGCGGGGAGGUAAGUCGGGUGUGAAAUCCCUCGGCCCAACCGAGGAACUGCGCCCGAGACUGCUUCUCUUGAGUCCCGGAGAGGAAGAUGGAAUUCCCGGUGUAGCGGUGAAAUGUGUAGAGAUCGGGAGGAACACCGGUGGCGAAGGCGGUCUUCUGGACGGUGACUGACGCUGAGGCGCGAAAGCCAGGGGAGCAAACGGG